GUAGGUGGCAAGCGUUGUCCGGAAUUAUUGGGCGUAAAGCGCGCGCAGGCGGUCCUUUAAGUCUGAUGUGAAAGCCCACGGCUCAACCGUGGAGGGUCAUUGGAAACUGGGGGGACUUGAGUACAGAAGAGGAAAGCGGAAUUCCACGUGUAGCGGUGAAAUGCGUAGAGAUGUGGAGGAACACCAGUGGCGAAGGCGGCUUUUCUGGUCUGUAACUGACGCUGAGGCGCGAAAGCGUGGGGAGCAAACAGGGAUUAGAUACCCUGGUAGUCCACGCCGUAAACGAUGAGUGCUAAGUGUUAGGGGGUUUCCGCCCCCUUAGUGCUGCAGCUAACGCAUUAAGCACUCCGCCUGGGGAUACGGCCGCAAGGCUG
rnacentral:rRNA from 1 species